rnacentral:rRNA from 1 species
ACUCAUCAACCCUGUGAACAUACCUAAACGUUGCUUCGGCGGGAAUAGACGGCCCCGUGAAACGGGCCGCCCCCGCCAGAGGACCCUUAACUCUGUUUCUAUAAUGUUUCUUCUGAGUAAAACAAGCAAAUAAAUUAAAACUUUCAACAACGGAUCUCUUGGCUCUGGCAUCGAUGAAGAACGCAGCGAAAUGCGAUAAGUAAUGUGAAUUGCAGAAUUCAGUGAAUCAUCGAAUCUUUGAACGCACAUUGCGCCCGCCAGUAUUCUGGCGGGCAUGCCUGUUCGAGCGUCAUUACAACCCUCAGGCCCCCGGGCCUGGCGUUGGGGAUCGGCGGAGCCUCUCUGUGGGCACACGCCGUCCCCCAAAUACAGUGGCGGUCCCGCCGCAGCUUCCAUCGCGUAGUAGCUAACACCUCGCGACUGGAGAGCGGCGCGGCCACGCCGUAAAACACCCAACUCUUCUGAAGUUGACCUCGAAUCAGGUAG